UCCACUGACUCAUACCAGCCGGAGCUACUUUUUAAAACUUCAUGGAAUUCAGUAAUAAAGAAAAAAUGAGAGCAUAAUUCAAUUAGGCCCAGGGUAAAUACUCUUUAAAUAGUUUUGGCAGUUUAACAGAGUCCAACCUUUGAACAUCUAUGAGAAAAGUUCAUUUCUACAGAACUAGUUUUCCAAAUUAUGUUAAGGUACAUCUAAAAUGAUAUUUUACUAGUAUAAUAAAUACCAGAUGUAACUUGUUCAUGGAAAAAUUAUAAAGUUAAAUAAAAAGAAAAAAAAGAGUAACAUUCAUUUUCUUCUUAUCCUGGAAAAUAUUCCAUAGGUUCUGACUUCAUAUUAUAUCAUAUACCAAACAUGUGCACCAAUAUAAAGCCAAAUAAACACCAGAAAUACAAAUAGGGGAAUUUUUAAAUUAAUUUUGAAUGGGAAAACCCUUUCUAAGCAUGACACAAAACCUAAAAGCCAUAUAAAAAUACAAGUAUCAUAAUAUUUUAUUAAAAAAAAAUUCAACGCUUCUAUGUAACAAAACAGUGGAACAUUGAAAGACCAAAAAUAAGCAGAAAAAGCUCUCUGCAAUGUAUUUGUCAGGAAAACAUUGGAAUUCUCAUGAUAGAUUGAAAUGGUUGCAAAUUAUUCAGCACCACUUCCAUGAGUGCUGGACUCUAAGUCCCCUCCCACUAAAGUGAACCUGGGAUUGCUUUGAAUGUUGGAAUUGGGAAGAUGCUGUGCUGAUUUCUGGGCCUGGCUGGGCCUUAGGUGACUGUACACUUUCACUCCUGGAACACUGUGUCUUGGAUACCUGACUUGAAACAAUAGAAAAGUACAACCACCUACUAGAGAGACUACAUGGACAGAAAUAGGAACCCAGAUGAGCAGAGCCUUUUAGUCAUUCUUGCCAAGGUGACAGAUAGCCAUGUGAGUGAGGCCAUCUUGGCACCACUAAGCAUGCCAGCUUCCAGAUAAUUACCACUGAAUAAUUCAAUGGUAAUUCAUUGUCACUUGGAUGGAGAAGAAUCACCCAAUUAAGCAGUACUUAAAACUCUAAACUACAAAAUCAUGUGAUAUAAUAAACUUGUAGUUAUUUUAAGCCAGUAAAUUAUGAAACAGUUUGUUAUAUAACAAUAGAUAACUGGAACAGUCCUUAAUUAGUAUAAACAGAUUUUAUAAAUCAUUGAAAAGUCAAACAUCUGAGUGGAGAGAGAGAAAAAAUAUUAAUAAGAAAUUUAUGGUAGAAAUACAAAUGACCAUUGAACGUACAUAAAGAAUCUGAGACUCACUAGUAAUCAAAUAACUGAGAUUUAUUUUUUUACCAACUAAAUAAGUUAAGGAAAUCCAAUUCUGAUAAGAUUAGGGAUUUAAGUACUUGUACUAAACUUCGCUCACUUAAAUGUAUGUUUAUGUAGAUAAAAUGUUUUAAAAUCACAUUUAGGAGUCCUCAUUGGUGUGGCUCAAUGGAUUGAGUGAUGGUUUGCGAACCAAAGGAUCAACAGUUCAACUCCCCGUCUAGGGCACAUGCAGGCCAGGGUUGUGAGCCAGAUCCCCAGUAGGGGGUGCAUGAGAGGCAACCACACAUUGAUGUUUCCCUCCUUCUUUUUCUCCCUUCCUUCUCCUCCCUAAAGGUAAAUAAAUAAAAUCUUAAAAGAACAAAAUAAAUUUUAAAAGUUAGAUUAGCAGAAUUUUCAAAUGGUUGUACAACACUCAGCAUUGAUGAGUAUGUAGGUAAAAGACACCUUCACAAACCAUUUAGUAAAAUUUAUUGGAGGGCAAAUUGGCAAUAAAUUUUAAAAUUUAUAGGCAUGAACUCUUUCAUACUUUAAUUCAUCUUUUAGGAACUUAUGUUUUAUGCAAGAUAGAGUACCCAAUUUUACCAGAACAGCACAGUUAAAAGUGGCAGAGCUGUCUUCUUAGUAUCUUCUUUUCCAAAGUUUCUUAGACAAUAAAUUAAAUGACAAUAGCCCUAGUGAUUGAUUUUUUUUUUCAGAAUAGCAAAGCACUACAAACCUUCUAAAGGUCCAUCAAUAGUAGACCAUAUAGUAUUUCAUAAAAAUUAUGAUUUAUUUAAUGCAAUGGAGUGCUAUAAAGCUACUAAUGAUAACCAUCUAGGCUAAUUUUUCCCAUAUGUCCUCCUUUAAACCACAUGAAAGAAGGAGAGCAAAUAAAACACCCAUUACCUACUCCUAUAGCAUAACUAUAGUACAGAGAAGAUAGCAAACUCCACUGUAUGAAUGAAUGGGAAAUAUACACAGAACAGCAGAUUGAAGAGGAUCUACAAAGAAAAGUGGAGAGUUUAAAGGGGUCCUAAGGAAAUAAAAUCCAGAGAAAACCAAAAAGUUACAUAUCAAAAAGUAGAAAGCAGCAUUGGGAUUGGGAAAAAUGGAGAUCUAGUCUGAGACCACCAGGGUCCCAGGGCAUGAAAUAGUAUAAACAAAAAA